rnacentral:lncRNA from 1 species
AACUUAUAAUGCCUACCAUGAGCAAGGGCCCUAAACCUAACCAUAUACUGAGAGAUGGAAAUUGUCAACUUAUCAGCACCCGUGGCCUCAGCUACUCUGGAGACUGAGGCAGGAGGAUUCGUUGAGGGGCAUUUUUAGCAACGAAGCUUGUUAAGCCCCUUCCACGUACCAGGUAUUUGCCAGGCAUUAGGGUUGUGGUGGUGAAAACACAAAUACGUUUCCUGAAACAUAAAGCAUGGAAAAAUACUGAAUAACUAAUUCUAACCAUAAUGCAUUGUUUGAAGGAGAAGUGCCGAGCACUACAGGUGCUUUUAACUGGAAUCUUACUGAGGGUCAGGAAAAGUCUUCCUAUGGAAGUCCCCUUUAAGCUGAACCCAAAAGUUAAGAUUAACCGAGGGAAGGGGAAGGGGUAAGGAAUAGGAAAAGGGAAUAGGGAACAGAAUGGGAGCAAAAGAAAGGAGGCCUUCUUCAUUCUGGUGUUCAGAUUCGAAUCCAGGCUGUCUCUUAGCAUCCAUCAUUAUGAUGAAUACUUUGAUUAUUGCUUUAUGGAGAUAAGUGAUUUUCUCUAAACUUUAAUUUCUCUGGAAGUGGAGUCUGAUUUUGUGGAAAGAGCUCAAGAUUGGGAAAUAUGAAUCGAGGGUCCUAAUCCCAGCUUUGUACUUCUUGAAUAAGUCUUUCACCAUUGCUGGGUCUCAUUUUCUACACUUACUUGAGGGUAUGGACAAGACGGUCUCUCAAAUUUCUUCCAGCCUUUAUGACCUAUAGUUCUAUCUGGACACUAGGAAGGUCCAGACCAGGGUACACCACUUCAUUUUUUAUUGCUACAAAAUGGCUUUUUAUCCUGUUAGUAUUGCUUAAUUUUCCUCCUGUCCUGAGUCCCUUUCAUUUUCUGUAUUUUACAGCUGAGAUUGUAUGCCACGCAUUUUCUGUAUAUGAUAGGUUUAGGUUGUUUUCCCACCACCUGCCAAACCAUCAUGCAAGUCCUCAGGAAUUAGCUGUCAGUAUCUUUCUUUCCUCUAUUAACACUUCUAGCGCCAAGAGUGGGACCCAGAGGCCUUUUUGCUCAAGGAUGGGGAUGAAAAGGGCAAAAGGAAUGAGACAUAGGGAAGACCUCACGCUCGCUUGGUCCCAAAGACAUUUGAAUUUUUGGCUUCAGGUCCAAUGUGUGUAGACGUUGCUCCUCUGGGUUUACGAAAAUAAAAAUAACUACCCCAGGCUCAUUUUCUAAAUGCAAACGAGUUUAUCUGGAAAAAAAUGAUUUACUCUGAGAUCAAAGUACUAUGUCUCCGUAGUAAAGGAAGUCCUAAUAGCUUUACAUUCGAGACUGCCUCACCUUGUGAAAGAUUAUCUUCUGCAUACAACACAGAAGUUCUGUUCCUGCUUCCCUGGCCCAUCUGCUCUGCUUCUGUACAGACCUCCCACUGCAUUUUUCAUUAGCUUUUUAAAGGAUCUAUAAUAAUAAGAUAAGGAAGAUUUAGCCUCUCAUCCAUAUUAACAUGCUUCCAGUGUAACAGUAUUGAAUUUUGAGGAACCGUUUUAGGAAAGAAUCACAAUCACAAUUUUACUCAUUCGGUUCUUCUCUGCCUCAAAUUGCCGGUUGGAGACAAAUUCACCAGUCACUGCAAAUAUUAGCUAUGGAUAACACACAACAUAUGAAAAACAGCCAGAAUAUUUCAUAUAUCUGAGUCAGGCAACUCCGGUGAUUAGUGAAACAUCAGACAUUUCUACCCUUGAGCUGAACAGAAAUGAGACAGUCAAGGAAAGAACUAGAAGGCAGCUCCAUAUGGUGCCAAGACAGCCUGUCAGGGCUAUUGGAGGGAUGUAGCUUUUCUGCUUAGUACUGUCUAGAAAUCAUUGAUUCAGAGAAUGUUGUGCCUGGAAAGAGCCUAAGACCCAUCUUUAAAAUGAGGAUGCUAUGGUAACAGCCUUUUUAAAGUUAAAGUCAAGCCUAGAUCCCAGGAAACUUUCUUUUCUGUCUUCUACUAAAUGAGCCACUCAUCUGGAGAAAAAUGACAUGAAUACAAAAUUCAAUGAGGCUUGAGGCAUCUCAAAGCCAAGGGUUUGGCUGAACAUAUACGUUUACAGAAUUGUAAAUGUUUAAAUUAAAUAUGACCCCAUAGGCAGAGGUAAUAAGAAGGAAAAUUAUUUCAGAAGUCAUGACAAACUUGAUUCAAUAUUUGUUUGUGUAUAAUUAUUAGCAUUGUAAGUCAGAGAGAUAUUUAAGACAGUCAGUCUGGAUUUCAGCUAUCUCUCCAGAGAUUCUUGCAGGAAAAAAAUAAUAAAACUAGAAUAGGUGCAUGUAUAGUUAGUGGGA